UAAGACUAAGUGAUUUAUUACAUCUGUUAAGAACACUGAUACAAAGCACAUUAACAGGCCACAGAACGUGAAAUAAAACGUGGCUUGAAGUCUAUACAAACACUGCUUGGACCCCACAAGUAGUGACUCCCCAAUUUAUUUGUCAUCAAAGGCUCAGUAUGGAAGGCAAGAAAUCUGCCAUUUACUGGGUGUGAAGCAAGUGUAACCACCAAGACAUGGUAGUUAAAUGGGUACAAGCAUUAAGAGAUAGAAAAAGAUUUUAUUGUGCAUUUUCUUUUUUUUUUUACUGGAAACAUUUUUUACAGAUUCUGGUCUACUUUAUCAACAUGUACUGACAAAGUCACUAAACCUUAGAAUUGUGGGAAAUGGCAAAUAUUAGGCAUAAAUAGCCAAGUUGGAAAAAGUUUAACAUUGCAGAUUGGAUUUAAUAUUUUUCUUAAUGCAUUAUAAAAAGUUUUUUUUUUUUUU